rnacentral:rRNA from 1 species
UAGUAACUGCGAGUGAAGCGGGAAGAGCUCAAAUUUGAAAUCUGGCGGUCCUCGUGGCCGUCCGAGUUGUAACCUAGAGAAGUGCUAUCCGCGCUGGACCGUGUACAAGUCUCCUGGAACGGAGCGUCACAGAGGGUGAGAAUCCCGUCUUUGACACGGACUACCAGGGCUUUUGUGAUGCGCUCUCGAAGAGUCGAGUUGUUUGGGAAUGCAGCUCAAAAUGGGUGGUAAAUUCCAUCUAAAGCUAAAUAUUGGCGAGAGACCGAUAGCGAACAAGUACCGUGAGGGAAAGAUGAAAAGAACUUUGGAAAGAGAGUUAAACAGUACGUGAAAUUGUUGAAAGGGAAACGCUUGAAGUCAGUCGCGUCGGCCAGGGAUCAACCUUGCAUUUGUUUGCUGGGAGUACUUCCUGGUCGACGGGUCAGCAUCAAUUUUGAUCGUCGGAUAAAGGCUUAGGGAAUGUGGCAUCCUCGGAUGUGUUAUAGCCCUUGGUCGCAUGCGACGGUCGGGAUUGAGGAACUCAGCACGCCGCAAGGCCGGGGUAUUCGUACCCACGUUCGUGCUUAGGAUGCUGGCAUAAUGGCUUUAAUCGACCCGUCUUGAAACACGGACCAAGGAGUCUAACAUGCCCGCGAGUGUUUGGGUGGAAAACCCGAGCGCGUAAUGAAAGUGAAAGUUGAGACCUCUGUCGUGGAGGGCAUCGACGCCCGGACCAGACCUUCUGUGACGGAUCCGCGGUAGAGCGUGCAUGUUGGGACCCGAAAGAUGGUGAACUAUGCCU